rnacentral:rRNA from 1 species
GAUGAACGCUGGCGGCGUGCCUAAUACAUGCAAGUCGAGCGAACAGAUAAGGAGCUUGCUCCUUUGACGUUAGCGGCGGACGGGUGAGUAACACGUGGAUAACCUACCUAUAAGACUGGGAUAACUUCGGGAAACCGGAGCUAAUACCGGAUAACAUAUUGAACCGCAUGGUUCAAUAGUGAAAGGCGGCUUUGCUGUCACUUAUAGAUGGAUCCGCGCCGUAUUAGCUAGUUGGUAAGGUAACGGCUUACCAAGGCAACGAUACGUAGCCGACCUGAGAGGGUGAUCGGCCACACUGGAACUGAGACACGGUCCAGACUCCUACGGGAGGCAGCAGUAGGGAAUCUUCCGCAAUGGGCGAAAGCCUGACGGAGCAACGCCGCGUGAGUGAUGAAGGUCUUCGGAUCGUAAAACUCUGUUAUCAGGGAAGAACAAAUGUGUAAGUAACUGUGCACAUCUUGACGGUACCUGAUCAGAAAGCCACGGCUAACUACGUGCCAGCAGCCGCGGUAAU